rnacentral:rRNA from 1 species
AUACGGAGAGGGCGAGCGUUGUUCGGAUUUACUGGGCGUAAAGGGCAUGUAGGUGUCCCGAUAAGCUCUGGGUGAAAUCUCCGCGCUCAACGCGGAAACGAAUCAGAGAACUAUCGGGAUAGAGUUCAGGAGAAGAGAGUGGAAUUCUCAGUGUAGCGGUGAAAUGCGUAGAUAUUGAGAAGAACACCAGCGGCGAAGGCGGCUCUCUAUUCUGAAACUGACACUCAAAUGCGAAAGCGUGGGGAGCGAAUGGGAUUAGAAACCCUAGUAGUCC